UUAUCAAAAGUCAUAGACAUGAUUUUGGGCCUAAGAUUAUAUGCAUCAAUAGCUUGCAUUAAAUGAUGAGAAAUAUUAAGACCGGUGUGGGGGUAUUCAAGCAUUUUAAAAUAGAUAAUGCGUUUUUGUAAUAACCAAUCACUAUCCAACCAAUGAAAAGUCACACACAAAUAGUGAUAUCCGUAACCACUAUCCUAUGCAUCAGCGGUCAAAGAAACUCUACAAGUAAGAUUACUCAACUCAUCAUAUAACUUCAAUUUAUACUCUUGAAAAUAUUUCAUGGCAACCGAACGGACAGUUUUUCUAGAGAUUUUUUUGUGUUGGGGUUGUAGUACUCGGUUAAUGUAAUUGUUAAAGGGAUCAUUUUCGACAAAAAGAAAGGGUUGUUUGGCAUGUACUAACAUUCUCCCAAACUCAUCCCUAUCUCUCUGAUAAUUGUAAAUGUAGCCAUGUGGAUGGAAUUGAGAAAUUUUUGGUUGGGUUGGAUCACUAGAUGGUUCACCACAUUUUUUUACAUGUCCAGUAAGGUGUCCCGUCCCUCCCUUGGUUUCGGCCGAGUAAAUUUUCUUACAUGUCUUACACUUGGCUUUGGUUCCAUCUCUACUUAAUUGAAAACACUAGUAGAAAAAAGUAAAUGGGAAGCCUCAAAUGGGGAGCGGUUAUUGAAAUUCCGCUUCCAAAAACACCCAAGAAAAAAAAAAAAAAACUGAAACAAGCAAAUGAGGAGCGGUUUAGGGUGAACCGCUUCCAAAAUUGUAAUGGGAAGCGGUUUCCAUUCUUUAAAAAAAAAACCCUAACAAACAAACUACCCCUCAGCCUCACGCCUCUUUUCUCCUCCUCUCUCCUCUCUCAGAAUUCUCAUGCCUCUUUCUCCCUAUAUCUUCUCUAUCCUCCCUCCAUUUCUUACUCUCCUGAUCUCCUCUCUCAAGCCUCCCCUUAUUUUCAUCCUCUCCUCUCUCAAGCUUAUCACCGCCAUUUUCGAGCAAAAAAACGAAUCAAAAACCCCUCAUUUUCGAGCAAAAAAACGAAUAAAAAACCCGAGAUUAUUCGAAGGUGGUGGUGCGUAUGGGUGGUGGUGUUUGGUGGAUGGAUUUAUUUUAUUAUUCGACCAUGGAGUUGUAGUUUUUAGAUGCGAGGUGGCGUCGGUUGCGGUGGUGGGCUGGUGGCGUCGGUUGUGGUGGUGGGCUGGUGGCAUCGAUUGCGGUGGUGGCAGAAUAGGGUGGUGUUGACUUUAGUUGUAUUUUUUUUGGUGUUGAAUUAUAAUGUAAUAUUACAACUAAUUAUUAAUGGAAAUAUAUAUUUUUAUA